rnacentral:rRNA from 1 species
CCCUUAGAGUUUGAUCAUGGCUCAGGACGAACGCUGGCGGCGGGCUUAACACAUGCAAGUCGAAGGAGAAGGUAGAAGCUUGCUUUUACUGGAGACUGGCGGACGGGUGAGUAACGCGUAGAUAACCUGCCUAUAGCUGGGGGAUAACACUGCGAAAGUGGUGCUAAUACCGCAUAAUGCAGCGGGGCCGCAUGGCCAUAGUUGUUAAAGGUUUCGACCGGCUAUAGAUGGGUCUGCGUGCUAUUAGUUAGUUGGUAGGGUAACGGCCUACCAAGGCGAUGAUAGCUAGGGGGUCUGAGAGGAUGAUCCCCCACACUGGGACUGAGACACGGCCCAGACUCCUACGGGAGGCAGCAGUGAGGAAUCUUGCGCAAUGGGCGAAAGCCUGACGCAGCCACGCCGCGUGCCGGAUGAAGGCCCUAUGGGUUGUAAACGGCUUUUACUAGGGAAGAACGAGAGGGUUUCGAUCUUCUGUGACGGUACCUAGUGAAUAAGCACCGGCUAACUCCGUGCCAGCAGCCGCGGUAAUACGGAGGGUGCAAGCGUUGUCCGGAAUCAUUGGGUGUAAAGGGUACGUAGGCGGGAGCCUAAGUCUGGGGUGAAAUCUUGCCGCUUAACGGUAAAAUGGCCCUGGAUACUGGGUUUCUUGAGUGCAGAAGAGGCAGGUGGAAUUCGUGGUGUAGCGGUGAAAUGCUUAGAUAUCACGAAGAACAUCAGUGGC